rnacentral:rRNA from 1 species
UACGUAGGGAGCAAGCGUUGUUCGGAUUUACUGGGCGUAAAGGGCGCGUAGGCGGCGCUGUAAGUCACUUGUGAAAUCUCCGGGCUUAACUCGGAACGGUCAAGUGAUACUGCAGUGCUAGAGUGCAGAAAGGGCAAUCGGAAUUCUUGGUGUAGCGGUGAAAUGCGUAGAUAUCAAGAGGAACACCUGAGGCGAAGGCGGGUUGCUAGGCUGACACUGACGCUGACAGCGCGAAAGCCAGGGGAGCAAACGGG